rnacentral:rRNA from 1 species
GACGAACGCUGGCGGCGUGCUUGAUACAUGCAAGUCAAGGAGAACAUUAUCUUCGGAUAAUAAGUAAACUGGCGAACGGGUGAGUAACGCGUAAAUAACUUGCCUCAGAGAUUGGGACAACAUUGGGAAACCAGUGCUAAUACCAAAUAAUGCAGCGGGCUCUUCGGAGCAUUGUUGUUAAAGUAGGCUUCGGCUUACACUUUGAGAUAGGUUUGCGUCCGAUUAGUUUGUUGGUGGGGUAAUUGCCUACCAAGACUAAGAUCGGUAGCUGGUCUGAGAGGAUGAUCAGCCACACUGGAAUUGAGAUACGGUCCAGACUCCUACGGGAGGCAGCAGUAAGGAAUUUUGCACAAUGGGCGAAAGCCUGAUGCAGCAACGCCGCGUGAACGAUGAAGUUUUUAGGAAUGUAAAGUUCUGUCGUAUGGGAAGAGAUCUUUCGAAUGUUAAUACCAUUCGUUAAUGACGGUACCAUACAAGAAAGCACCGGCUAACUUCAUG